AAUUUGAGUUGCUUGUGGUUUCUUGCCAGGACCAGGUGGUGGUGAUGUUUGCUUGCUUAGAGCUUCAGCCAUUGUAGCAUUUACAGUAUAAGAGGUUAGAACACAGCCUCUGAGCAGCACUACUUCUUCUGGGAAGUCUGGACGCUACAGAAUCGGAGAAUGACAAGACGGGCCAGAGCUAGCUGGUUAGCAUGCUAAUCUCAAUACAACAAAAGAAGUGAUAGAACCAGAAGCAAAACACUGGUGCAGCGUUCCACUGCUAGAAACAGUAAAGGAAUAAAAUUUGAUGCCGAAUUCACAACAUUUCUUCUAGAUUGCUCCAAAACCCUCAGACUCAUCCAAGAGGAAUCUGGGGGACUUCUACCACAUGGAGACCUUGUUGUUGCCUUGGCACAGGGAAAAUGAACGCUCUCUGAAAACAUUAUGGGGGAGUUAGCUGUGGCUCCGUGAACGUUGUGCACACUUGGCAGGCGAGACAGCUGAGCUUCCUGCGUCCUCCUCCAGUGAUACAGGAGCACUGUGCAGUUUCCGUUUGCCGUUGCCUCGCGGAGCCUCACGAGGUCGUUCCGAGUUGAAACGUUUGCGGUGGUUUAUUCAUCCCAACAAUAAACUUUCCUCGCGCCCGGCGAUACGCACGCGACCCACCGCGACGGCGCUGAGUCCUGGCUGAGUCACCGGCCGCACCGGGCUCCUGCUGCUGCUGCUGCGGCUGCCGACUAUUUCUGGGCUGUAUAUAAGGAGCUGAACAGGGCUGAGGAUGCCGCGCACAACCACAGCGCUGAGCUUCACCAUGGUCAUUUCACAUCCACCCAGUUAGUCAUAUAUAAUGUAUAGGAACUUAGAAUGUGUGAGUGGGAGAAACAACAACAAUCACUUAUUAAAAUGCAAUUAAGUAAAAGUACAUCAAGUAGCAUCCUGUACUUGUGCAUCAAUGUGAAGGAAUUUUUAUAUUUAGUCAAAGUAGUGCUGCUACAUUAUGUAAAUCUGUUUUAAAAAUAUGGUAGUAAUAGUUUAAUGUAUUUCAUAAUGUAUUUGUAAAAUCUUUAUGUGAGAAUUUAACGGUAACAACAGCCUUCAAACUAAAUUUGUUGAGUAAAAAUCACAAUAAAUCUCUGAGAAAAAGCUGUGAAGUAAAAUUUUGGAGUAGAUGUGCAAAAGAUAUACGAAAUCAGGGAAGUGCAAAUGCAGCUUUUAUCACGGUCUCUUCCUACUUUGUUUCAUUUUUUUCUCCUCAGUCCUUUAAUAUUCAGAUUGGCCUUUUUAUACACAAUUUUCCUACAAUGUAUUAAGUGAUGUUUAUGAAUCUCUUUAUGUAAUCUCCUCUCUUACUCUCUGCAGUUAGUAUAUAUUGAAUUUGAACAAGCUAGUUUGACUGAUUGAAGAGUAGCCAAGCUCUUGAUGAUAACCCCAUUUCAAUUUCUAGGGGCCAAUAUUCUGAUUCUAAUUAUGUGGAAAGACUGAAAGUUGAUGCAAACUGGAACUUUGCCUGCUUGGUUUAAAUAAACCAACAAGCUCUAAAGGAAAAAAAAUACAUACAGGCUACUCUCAAGGCCAGAACAUUUGGGUGGCACUGACUGUAAGAACCCAUCUUAACCAGACUGUCGUUGCCUUGUCAGGCUUCAGAUGCUUGGCUUUCUGCGUUAACAGUAGUCCGCACUCCUUUCACACACAUUCCUCACAAACCCAGCACUUCCACAAAUGACUGUGAUUUCCUCUUGGCUGCUGAAAGGACUUGAUCCGCACAGUCCAAGAAAUAUAGUUUUUGCCCUUCUGUACAUCCAUUUCCUGUUCUAAAAUACUUGCAUAUGUUUUCUCUGUCAACUUACGUGUGAGUCACUCGGGUUAAGAGCAAAAACAAAUACGAACGGAACAAAUACAAGCUGACUCACAUGAGUGACUAAGACAUCUGGAAUACACCUUCAGGAUUUAGGAACAGCUUUGAUCCUCUUUAACAGUGUGUUUGUCUGAGUGUGUGUGUGUGUGUGUGUGUGUUGCAGAUAUACACUUAGCAUCAAUCUCUUUCAUAACUACAGUGACAUCUGCUGGCUCCAGGUUACACUGGUUCUUGUCUCUGUGACUUCUCUUCCUAUCGGUCUGAGGAACAGAUGGGGGUCGUGUACUACUCACGACACUUCAUAUAAUGAUCAUGAGUUUCACAAGUCUUUAAAUUACACACAGAUACUGUACUGUACAGCAGCUCAGCAAGUGGAACAAGACUACAAUUUGUUUCCCCUUCCACUCAGAUUAUUGUUCCUAGACUUGGAUGUUUGACCUUCACUGUGCUGAAUGAGGUAUGAGGUGAUGUAGAAACUGGAAGCCUGCAGGUCACAUACACUGAAAAUUGACUUUCUAGUGAAAUGGAAGACAUCUUGUGUCCAGUAGGAGUAGAUGUAAUGUUAACAAGGUAAUGGAACUAGUCAUUAGUCAUUAGUUUUAAUGUAUCAUAAGGGAGGAGGGGAUCUUAUACAAUAUACUGAAGAAAAAAUAGAAACACAACAUUCCCAUUUUACAUGAGUUGAAAUAAAAGAUCUAAACACCAAAAGGCUUCUUUCUCUCAAAUUCUGAUCAGAGAUUCGUUUAAAUCCAUGUUAGAGAGCACUUGUCCUUUGCCAAGACAAUCCAUCCACCUGACAGAUGUGGUGUAUAGAUGCUGAUUACACAGCAUGAUUACUGCACAGGUGUAUCUUGGGCUGGUUAAAAUAAAAGGCCACUCUAAAAUGUUUCAUCACACAAUCCCACAGAUGUUGCACGUUCUGAGGGUGUGUGCAGUGGGCAUGCUGAAUGUCCACUAGAGCUGUUGCCCCUGAAAUGAAUGUUGAUUUCGAUACCAUAAACCAUCUACAGUGACGUCUGAGAAUGUGGCAGCACAUUCAACGGGCCUCACAACCACUCCAGUCGGGACCUCCACAUCCAAUCAGCAACCAGUGUCACACUGCAUUAGGCAAAUUGUCGUCACACCAGAUACUGCCCAAAAAAUGUCAUGUAGCCUCAGUCAUGUGCUUAAUAAACAUGGUUUUUCAAAUUAAGACUGCACAUUUUAGAGUAGCCUUUUAUUGUGACCAGCCCGAGGCACACCUGUGCAGUAAUCACACACCUGUCAGGUGGAUGGAUUAUCCUGGAAAAAGAGAAAUGCUCACUAACAUGGAUUUCAACAAAUUUCUGGACAAAAUUAGAAAGAAAGAAGCCUUGUGCCUUCAUGAAAAACAGGAGCAAAAAAGAAAACUGUUGCGUUUAUAUUUUUGUUCCAUAUAAUUAAUCCACCAAAUAACAACUUCCUUAACAGCUUCCUUCGUCCUAUUAAAUACCUAUAUGUUCAUCUGUGGUCCUCUCCAUCCUUUUCUCAAAGCUCUGAAUAAUGCUGCUGCUUUCACUGUGGUCUAAUGCAUGAAACUCAUCCUCUCCUCUCUUCCUCACUUGAUCUCUUAUCUGAAUCUGAGCCACAGUGAGAAGGGAAACUACAACCUCUGCCUUAUAAAGCUUUGGUGAUAUAAGAAAGAUCUUUUCUCUUACUUCUCUCUCUUUUGGGGGUUUCUGCUAUUUUCCUGCUUCAGAGGCCCCAGAGGCUGUACUAUAAAUCUCACUGCAUUUCUGUCAUUUUGUCUUCCAGAGCUACAACUGUGUAACUCACCAUUUUGUACCUCAGAAUGGUCCAGCUGCUUCAACUGACUUUACUAAACCACCAGCAGCAUCUAGACUCCUGCAGUUCUGCUUAUCUCCUAUCUUCCUAUGCUUACUGAUGACGCAUCACAUCAGUGGUGUCUAAUCAGUAAAGUCCAUCUCUGUUGUUAACCUCAAUUAACGUCAUUAUACACUUUCAAUUGUUCUUUCAUCACUGAAUUACCAUAAAAGGAAGGAAGAAAUCCUCUGACAAGAUUAAAGCAGUGAUGAUUUACAGUUCAAUUAUUCUUAAUUGUUUUACAAUGAAAAUAAGAAUAAAACCUAAAAGUCAUUUAAAUGCAAGACAAUAUUUAAACUUGAGCUGCUGAGUUUGCUAAAGUCUUAAAACAUUAGUGAUAAUCUUUAUUUUAUUUAUUUUUUACCCAAGUUAGGGGUUUAAGUAUAUUUUGUUCCAUGUUUGCCUUUCUCAGUGACGACAGAGAAGUGACAGGAAAUGAGGACAGGCAGUGAUUGGGCAGCCAGGGACAGGGUCAUUACACAUGGAGCGUUUCCAUCAUAGGAACUUUUGCUGGGACCAAAAACCUUUUGAGAAACUCAGGAACUGCAUUUGAAUGUGCACCAGUUUUAGGUGCUAAAAAAGUCUUUCUUCCUGGGGUGUUUGCAGGUGUAACAGUUGCUGAUUGGUCAAAUGCAGACAACCACAGCUGCUUCAACUUGACUGAUAAAACAAGGGAGUACUCUUAAACCCGUCUUAAUCCUCUAGGCCAGCAGGAUGCCCAAUCAAUUCAUUUUUUCCACCAUCAACAUAAACUGAGUUUUAAAAAGCAGUAUUUUCAAAACAAAAUCUCACUGUCAAUUUAACUGCUGACACACUUCUGAUUAAAAACUGCAACAUUAAUGCUGACUGUUAUAUUGAUAUUAGCAGUUUGUGUUUAGAGUGGUUGCCCUGGUAACAGCUGCACGGUCAAAUCAAGCUUAUGCACUGGUACAUACUCUGUGUUAUAUUUCAAGGUCUCAGCAUCACUAAUGCUACAGAAUGUGACAUGGAUGUAUAAAUAUUAAUAUAUUGUAUAUGUGGUCUGAGUAAGAGAUCAAAAUAUUUUGAGAACCCUGCUGCUGUAUAACCUUUCAAACAUCUGUACCUCAUGAUGCCUAAUUCAUCUUUCUGUUAAAUCUGUUCUGGU